CGACUCUGGUUUCUCUUCAUUACGCACAAGCCUUUCGCCUUUUACUAAAGACUUCCGUGGAGAGGAACAUGUACGAGUUCAAUGUAUUUUUGGAGGGGCUUUGCUUCUGGCAGAGCC
rfam:Salmo salar isolate Sally breed double haploid chromosome ssa03, whole genome shotgun sequence.